rnacentral:rRNA from 1 species
GACGAACGCUGGCGGCGUGCCUAAUACAUGCCAGUAGAACGCUGAAGGAGGAGCUUGCUUCUCCGGAUGAGUUGCGAACGGGUGAGUAACGCGUAGGUAACCUGCCUGGUAGCGGGGGAUAACUAUUGGAAACGAUAGCUAAUACCGCAUAACAGUAGAUGUUGCAUGACAUUUGCUUAAAAGGUGCAAUUGCAUCACUACCAGAUGGACCUGCGUUGUAUUAGCUAGUUGGUGAGGUAACGGCUCACCAAGGCGACGAUACAUAGCCGACCUGAGAGGGUGAUCGGCCACACUGGGACUGAGACACGGCCCAGACUCCUACGGGAGGCAGCAGGAGGGAAUCUUCGGCAAUGGACGGAAGUCUGACCGAGCAACGCCGCGUGAGUGAAGAAGGUUUUCGGAUCGUAAAGCUCUGUUGUAAGAGAAGAACGAGUGUGAGAGUGGAAAGUUCACACUGUGACGGUAUCUUACCAGAAAGGGACGGCUAACUACGUG